GACGAACGCUGGCGGCGUGCUUAACACAUGCAAGUCGAACGGAAAGGCCCUGCUUGCAGGGUACUCGAGUGGCGAACGGGUGAGUAACACGUGGGUGAUCUGCCCUGCACUUCGGGAUAAGCCUGGGAAACUGGGUCUAAUACCGGAUAGGAGCCAUUUUUAGUGUGAUGGUUGGAAAGUUUUUUCGGUGUAGGAUGAGCUCGCGGCCUAUCAGCUUGUUGGUGGGGUAAUGGCCUACCAAGGCGGCGACGGGUAGCCGGCCUGGGAGGGUGGACGGCCACAUUGGGACUGAGAUAAGGCCCAGACUCCUACGGGAGGCAGCAGUGGGGAAUAUUGCAAAAUGGGCGCAAGCCUGAUGCAGCGACGCCGCGUGGGGGAUGACGGCCUUCGGGUUGUAAACUCCUUUCGCUAGGGACGAAGCUUUUUGUGACGGUACCUAGAUAAGAAGCACCGGCUAACUACGUG
rnacentral:rRNA from 1 species